rnacentral:rRNA from 1 species
CUACGGGAGGCAGCAGUCGAGAAUCUUUCACAAUGGGGGCAACCCUGAUGGAGCGACGCCGCGUGGAGGAUAAGGUCUUCGGAUUGUAAACUCCUGUCAUGUGUGAACAAGGUUGUAGAGUUAAUAACUUUGCAAAUUGAUGGUAACACAAGAGGAAGAGACGGCUAACUCUGUGCCAGCAGCCGCGGUAAUACAGAGGUCUCAAGCGUUGUUCGGAAUCACUGGGCGUAAAGGGUGCGUAGGUGGCGUGGUAAGUCAGAUGUGAAAGCCCGGGGCUCAACCUCGGAAUUGCAUCCGAUACUACCAUGCUAGAGUACUGAAGAGGUGACUAGAAUUCUCGGUGUAGCAGUGAAAUGCGUAGAUAUCGAGAGGAAUACCAACGGCGAAGGCAGGUCACUGGGCAGUUACUGACACUGAGGCACGAAGGCUAGGGUAGCGAACGGGAUUAGAUACCCCUGUAGUCC